ensembl:miRNA bta-mir-11981 bta-mir-11981
CAGGGCGGGAACGGGCUGCGGGAGGCUGCUGGGGCCGGGAGCGCCGGGACAGGUGCGUGAUCGCCCUUUC